GAUUUUCUCCAGACCUUUCUAAGAGCAGCAUUUGGAUAAUUGGCACAGGGGGCUAGGCCUGGCUUAUGCAAACGAAUGUGUGAUGCUCCAGUGUACCAAUCACUUGUCAGACUCACUUUCUGUUGUCAGGUUAAUUCUAAUGACACCCAGCUGUAGGAGUCACUGAUUGCAGUCACUUCCUGCCAGAGAUGAUCGCUACCAACCAUCCAGUUGUACAGGAUCACCAUUGUGUGGCUCGCACUUCACUGCAGUACCUCCAUUCAGUUUUCUGAGGGCAUCCUCUGUGCCAGUGGAUUUAGCCUCACAAGGCCUAAAAGCCCAGGACCUUCAUCUGAAAAGGGCCCAAGAAGCAGGAACAGAAGACAAGAGUGAUACACAGAAUGGAUGGCACUAUCUUCAGCAUUCAUUUCGGCAAGAGCAUCUUGAUUUUAUGAAAAACUAAAAUAAACGUAAAACAUUAAGAUAAAAA
rnacentral:lncRNA from 1 species